AGUGAACGCUGGCGGUAGGCCUAACACAUGCAAGUCGAACGGCAGCACAGUAAGAGCUUGCUCUUACGGGUGGCGAGUGGCGGACGGGUGAGGAAUACAUCGGAAUCUACUUUUUCGUGGGGGAUAACGUAGGGAAACUUACGCUAAUACCGCAUACGACCUACGGGUGAAAGCAGGGGAUCUUCGGACCUUGCGCGAUUGAAUGAGCCGAUGUCGGAUUAGCUAGUUGGCGGGGUAAAGGCCCACCAAGGCGACGAUCCGUAGCUGGUCUGAGAGGAUGAUCGGCCACACUGGAACUGAGACACGGUCCAGACUCCUACGGGAGGCAGCAGUGGGGAAUAUUGGACAAUGGGCGCAAGCCUGAUCCAGCCAUACCGCGUGGGUGAAGAAGGCCUUCGGGUUGUAAAGCCCUUUUGUUGGGGAAGAAAAGCAGCAGGUUAAUACCCCGCUGUUCUGACGGUACCCAAAGAAUAAGCAUCGGCUAACUUCGUG
rnacentral:rRNA from 1 species